GACAGAGGGUGCAAACGUUGUUCGGAAUUACUGGGCGUAAAGCGUGCGCAGGCGGCCUUGCAAGUCGGGCGUGAAAUCCCACGGCUCAACCGUGGAACUGCUCGGUAUACUGGCGAUCUUGAGCCACUUAGGGGCUACCGGAACAAAUGGUGGAGCGGUGAAAUGCGUAGAUAUCAUUUGGAACGCCAAUGGUGAAAACAGGUAGCUGGGAGUGUGCUGACACUGAGACACGAAAGCCAGGGGAGCGAACGGG
rnacentral:rRNA from 1 species